CGCUUUUUUGCCCAGGCGGAGAUCGACCGCCCUCUGAGGAAAUGAAGAUGUUCAUCGAUGACUAUCGCGAGAGCUACGGGGUCGAGCCGAUCUGCGACGUUCUGCCGAUCGCCCCG
rfam:Thalassobacter arenae DSM 19593 genomic scaffold Contig203, whole genome shotgun sequence.